rnacentral:lncRNA from 1 species
UUCUCUCUGACACAUUAUCUAAUGUUAAAAUGAGUUAUAUACAGUAGGAGUUUCCACAAAGUGUGAAAGAAAUUCAAUUGAGUUUUAAAAAGACCAUAAGAGAAUACUCAUAAUAGAAUCAUCGUUCAUAUAAGUAGAAAGACUAACUUUCAUUUCUUACAUUCAGGGCCGGCUGAUGACCAGGGGCCAGCUGUGCACCCGCCCAGGGUCCAUUGUUGGAAGGGGCCCAUAAUUUUUUUUUUUAAUGUAGUAGUGUAACUCUAUUUUUUGUAAACUAUACGUAUACGUUUUAGAAAAACGAAAUUAAUAAAUACAAAAUUUAUAAAUCUAACUUUAUGGAAACAAAAUCUUAUUUAUGUUAAUUUGAUUAAACUUUUACCAAAUUAUAAUUAAUAUUAAAAUAUUAUAAUCAACUAGUUAUCUAAUGUGAGCUUUUUAAGCAUGAUUGUAUUUCAUCAACACGUCUUCAGUGACAAUACAAUUUUAAUACUCUCAAAAUCGUUGAUUCUUCAAGGAUUCUUACAUUGUUGAUUAGUUUAUGUAAGUGAUCUUUAAUAUAUUUUUUUACUAUCCUGUUUUUUGUUUAGAGAUCACUGAUUUUUUUUUGGUAGAGCAAAAUUUUUUUUUCGUUUCUAAAACGUCUGAGGAUUUUUUUUUGUUUUCUGGUUUCAGGUAUCCAUUUCACUUUCACUUUCAGCUUCGUCAAUUCAUUUUUUGAUUCUUAAAUUCAGGCGUACUUUUCUUUUUACUUAAAUUUUAGAAAUUAACUCGACUUUGAAGUAUAGCCGACUAAAGAUAUUAUAUUUUGAAGGUUUUUGUAAGAACAAAUGAUUUCAUUCUCAAGAAAAAAGAACCUAUAAAAAGAGCAAGACUGUUUUACUUUUAUGGUUGUGCUUACCUUUUCAAACGAAAAGGAUUUUAUUUUACCCUGUAACUACAAUUUCAAAAUUUUAAUUCAUCGGUUAAGGGUCACUUUUUUUAAUUUUGCCCCAGGGCCCGUAAAAGGUUCGAGCCGGCCCUGCUUACAUUUCACGAGCCGAGCCGAGCACAUUGCCUUGUCUUCCGUCCUACAACAGCAUAAACACCAAAAUAAGCAAAUAUGUCACAUGGGAUACUAAAGUCCAACUAGU